GAUGAACGCUGGCGGCGCGCCUAACACAUGCAAGUCGAACGGCACCCCUCUCCGGAGGGAAGCGAGUGGCGAACGGCUGAGUAACACGUGGAGAACCUGCCCCCUCCCCCGGGAUAGCCGCCCGAAAGGACGGGUAAUACCGGAUACCCCGGGGUGCCGCAUGGCACCCCGGCUAAAGCCCCGACGGGAGGGGGAUGGCUCCGCGGCCCAUCAGGUAGACGGCGGGGUGACGGCCCACCAUGCCGACAACGGGUAGCCGGGUUGAGAGACCGACCGGCCAGAUUGGGACUGAGACACGGCCCAGACUCCUACGGGAGGCAGCAGUGGGGAAUCUUGCGCAAUGGGGGGAACCCUGACGCAGCGACGCCGCGUGCGGGACGGAGGCCUUCGGGUCGUAAACCGCUUUCAGCAGGGAAGAGUCAAGACUGUACCUGCAGAAGAAGCCCCGGCUAACUACGUGCCAGCAGCCGCGGUAAUACGUAGGGGGCGAGCGUUAUCCGGAUUCAUUGGGCGUAAAGCGCGCGUAGGCGGCCCGGCAGGCCGGGGGUCGAAGCGGGGGGCUCAACCCCCCGAAGCCCCCGGAACCUCCGCGGCUUGGGUCCGGUAGGGGAGGGUGGAACACCCGGUGUAGCGGUGGAAUGCGCAGAUAUCGGGUGGAACACCGGUGGCGAAGGCGGCCCUCUGGGCCGAGACCGACGCUGUGGCGCGAAAGCUGGGGGAGCGAACAGGAUUAGAUACCCUGGUAGUCCCAGCCGUAAAACGAUGGACGCUAGGUGUGGGGGGACGAUCCCCCCGUGCCGCAGCCAACGCAUUAAGCGUCCCGCCUGGGGAGUACGGCCGCAAGGCUAAAACUCAAAGGAAUUGACGGGGGCCCGCACAAGCAGCGGAGCAUGUGGCUUAAUUCGAAGCAACGCGAAGAACCUUACCAGGGCUUGACAUAUGGGUGAAGCGGGGGAGACCCCGUGGCCGAGAGGAGCCCAUACAGGUGGUGCAUGGCUGUCGUCAGCUCGUGUCGUGAGAUGUUGGGUUAAGUCCCGCAACGAGCGCAACCCCCGCCGCGUGUUGCCAUCGGGUGAUGCCGGGAACCCACGCGGGACCGCCGCCGUCAAGGCGGAGGAGGGCGGGGACGACGUCAAGUCAUCAUGCCCCUUAUGCCCUGGGCUGCACACGUGCUACAAUGGCCGGUACAGAGGGAUGCCACCCCGCGAGGGGGAGCGGAUCCCGGAAAGCCGGCCCCAGUUCGGAUUGGGGGCUGCAACCCGCCCCCAUGAAGUCGGAGUUGCUAGUAAUCGCGGAUCAGCAUGCCGCGGUGAAUGCGUUCCCGGGCCUUGCACA
rnacentral:rRNA from 1 species